GUUGAGCUGGACAAAGAGAACAUCUUUGCUGAUGCGAUGUCUUCUUUGGUUCAUUCUAUGUAUUGAACCUGGAAUACCAGGAGUCAGCGUGUGCAACAUUGGAACUAAUUCAGAGAUGAUCCAUGGCCCAUGCUUUCUGGACAUUUACACAAGACGAACAACAAUGAAGACAAGCUCUCUCACCAUCUUGCAAGACGCUGUCUCUGUCCAACAGGUUUUUUGAGUGCAACAGUUUUGAUUUUUUUUUCCUUCUUUUACCCGUUUGUUAAAAGUUAUUUCAGCUACUUACACUUUAGUUGUCACAUGUAUUGGCUCACCCUACAAAUCAAUGAACUCAGUCCACAAAGCAAGAUCAGGGUUCAGUGCAGGUCAGUCAAGUUCCUUCACGCCACACACGCUCAUCCAUGUCCUUGUGGACCCUGCUUUGUGCAUUGAUUUGGUGGUGUGAGCCAGUAUUUUGGACAAAGUGUAUAUAAAGGCAGAAGUGUGGGGCUUGAUAUUAUAUUCAUUACAAUUCAGUUUAUUUGUAUGGUGCCAACAAAAUGAAUGCCAAGGCACUUCACAGUGUAGGUUUAAGACCCUACAAAAUAUAACUAAGAAAACCCAACACUUGAGCAUAUGUCGUCUGCCAUGAUAUGGAUAUGACAUAAUAUCGUUAUUGUUUGUACAACCAUCUGAGAAAAUAAUGGAUUACAUGGUUUAGUAAAAACAAGUGCUUCCUCAAUGAAAAUAUGUUUUCAGUUCUUUUCAGUUUUUGAUUUUGGAAAUGUGUAUUUCUGCAGAGGAAAAUCAGAACUGAAAUAAAAAGUGGUGUAAAGCACAUGAA